rnacentral:snRNA from 1 species
CUCGUGAUCAAGAAGACGAGUGGCCUAGGCUAGUGAAUUCCAUUGCACAUAACGGAAGGGUGCUUAGCUUAAGGUCUUCCCUUGUGGAAGAGCCUGCGUCAUUAUUUGUGGCAGAGGGGGUUUGCGUUCGCGCAGCCCCUA